rnacentral:rRNA from 1 species
UACGAACCGUGCGAACGUUGUUCGGAAUCAUUGGGCGUAAAGCGCGCGUAGGUGGCCCCAUAAGUCCGCUGUGAAAGUCAAAGGCUCAACCUUUGAAAGCCGGUGGAUACUGUGGGACUAGAGUACGGAAGAGGCGAGUGGAAUUCCUGGUGUAGCGGUGAAAUGCGCAGAUAUCAGGAGGAACACCAAUUGCGAAGGCAGCUCGCUGGGACGUUACUGACGCUGAGACGCGAAAGCGUGGGGAGCAAACAGG